rnacentral:rRNA from 1 species
GAUGAACGCUGGCGGCGUGCCUAAUACAUGCAAGUCGAGCGAAUGGAUUAAGAGCUUGCUCUUAUGAAGUUAGCGGCGGACGGGUGAGUAACACGUGGGUAACCUGCCCAUAAGACUGGGAUAACUCCGGGAAACCGGGGGUAAUACCGGAUAACAUUUUGAACCGCAUGGUUCGAAAUCGAAGGGCGGCUGCGGCUGUUAAUUAUGGAUGGACCCGCGUCGCAUUAGCUAGUUGGUGAGGUAACGGCUCACCAAGGCAACGAUGCGUAGCCGACCUGAGAGGGUGAUCGGCCACACUGGGACUGAGACACGGCCCAGACUCCUACGGGAGGCAGCAGUAGGGAAUCUUCCGCAAUGGACGAAAGUCUGACGGAGCAACGCCGCGUGAGUGAUGAAGGCUUUCGGGUCGUAAAACUCUGUUGUUAGGGAAGAACAAGUGCUAGUUGAAUAAGCUGGCACCUUGACGGUACCUAACCAGAAAGCCACGGCUAACUACGUGCCAGCCGCCGCAGUAA